GUGGGGCUCGGACUCAUGAACUGUGAGAUCAUGACCUGAGCUGAAGUCGGAGGCUUAACUGACUGAGCCACCCAGGCACCCCCUAACAUUUUGCUUUUUUUAGGUGUGGCCAGUGCUGGCUUGUUAGCGAGCCUGAUUAUCUGACCAGUCAGCUUGAAACUGCCUUCUUUCUUCUAAAAUAAGAGGGAAUAAGUUUUGAAUGUUUUAUCAAUAAUCAAAUAACCAAUAUGCAGAAUAUACAGGAAACAUGAAAGCUAUGACCAAUAGUAUACAAAAGAGAAAUAAUUAAGAAAUCACACAGUAAAGUCAGCCAGCUAUUUUAUUUUUUUGAGAGAGAGAGUGGGGGAGGGAGAGGGAGAGGGAGAGAGAAGCUUAAGCAGCCUCCACGUCCAGCAUGGAGCCCAACACGAGGCUCAAUCUCACGUUGAGAUCAUGACCUGAGCCCAAAUCAACACUCAGACGCUUAAUUGCCUGAGCCUGUUAUUAAGUCUUCUUUAGACACCUUAGAGUAAAACAGACCAAUUACAAUUUCUGUUGGAAUGAAUCCAUCUAGUAGAGACUCCUGUCAACAUUCAGGGAACUCUAGGUCAUUGUGGCUCAAAGCGUGGCCCACAGACCAGCAGCAUCAGCGUCACUGAGGACCCUUUGAGAAAUGUAGACUCUCAAACCCCAUUCCAGACCUACUGAAUCCUAAGUAGCAGUGCAGCAAGAUAUCCAGGUGAUUCUCAUACCUGGUGAUUCUAUUACGGUUUGAGAAACACUGGUGUAGGUCAUGGUUAGAAUUAAGACUGCCUUAUCUGUUUAAUUCAUUUGCUUCAAGUUUUGAAUACUGGAGUCCUUCUUCUUUCUCCUCCUCCUCCUUUUUAUUUGUUUUCAUAAAACAUUUUGGAGAAUAUUGUUAAAGAAAGAAGUUUCAAAAUUUUUUUGAGACAACAGAAAAAAAAAGGCACUUUUCCCAGGUCUAGAUUGUGAUUCACUGAAAGGGAAAAUAUAAAAUAGCUCCAAGUGCUUUGAGUAGCUAAUACAUUGCUUGAACAUUGUUCUGUAUCUGACUUCGUUCCCCAAAUAAAACAAUUAGACAAAAAACUCCCAUUAAAUUCAUAUUCUUUAACUUCUUAUUGUGUUUCCUGUCCCUUCCAACUGUGAAAUGACUUCUUCAGUCUCUUGCUCCCAUGCCUCACCUCUCUCCCCCCCCCCCGUUCCAGGUGGUAACAGUUUAUGGAGCAUGUUGCUGUGUUAAUACCUUGUUAGGGUGGUUUCAGCUGUUGGGUCUUUGAGACGUCAAUGUCAGGACUAUUUUACUAUAAACCCUUGACGGGGAGGGAAAAUCUGGGACGUGCCGAACCUGUACCUUCUCACACUACAGGAAGCUGUACAACUAUAGACGUCUCUUCCCAUGAUGCCGUGUUGCUGGCUGGGUCUUGAAAUAUAUGGCCUAUAAAGUCAUUCUCAUUGGGAAAGAAUUGCAGACAAGUGUUCGAUUAAAAGGUAAAUUCAGGCCUCUGGACAUUGUACAGGAUAGGUAACCCCUGAAAUCUUUCUUUAAAAGCUGCUGAGGCUUGGAAAAAUGUGAAAAAUGUUGAAUUUACACACUAUUUUGGUACAGCAAGAGAUAAUUCUAGCUGCUUGAAGAAACAAAGGAGCAAGUUGGAAUGCAGUGACAGCUCUAUAAUGCAAUAAUAGGGUGCAUGUCUUUGGAGCGGAAUGGAGCAACUGAAAAGCUAAAACUCGGAUGUGUAGGUGAUUCUUUUUUGUGUGUUAAAAUAAGGUCAACACCUUAUUGACCUUAUAGAUAGAAGGAACUGGCCCUCAAAUGACCUUGUGGAAAAGAACCAGCCAGCCAGCCAGGAAUGUUCAUAUCUGGUCUAUUCGGUUCUGACUUAAUGAAACCCACCAGUUUUUACACUCUAACUUUCCUAUUUCAAGUGUUGCCUGGAAAGGAAGUCUUAGGUGAGUAUUCUCAAAAAAUAUUGCUUCAUUUACAAUUUUGAAUAAUACUUUCCUGAGAAGUCUGAUGACAAAGACAGCCCAAACAGGAAAAACAGUAGAAAAGUUUAUGACGUAUAAAAUGAAUUCUUCAAAAGAAUUUUGUUUCGAAAUGCCAAGGGUUAUAAGUCAAAUAUAUGCAGCAUAUAUUACUAUUCAUUACCUUGCAUUGGCUGAAAUUCAUCUCUUCUGACAACCCUGGGUAAAUCAUGUUACAUAUUGCAUAAAAUAUGAGUGCUGGUCCUUUUCUGAAGAUGCCACUUAGUGUGGGAACUCACUGCCAUUGGCUGCAUCCCAGUUGCUGUAAGCUCCCUUAAGACCACUGCUUCUGCAGAGUCCUAUGGCAGUCGAAUCAGAGAAGAAAAGGUAUUUAUAGAAAACAUAUGCAAAAGGUUGAUAGCUCGUCCAGUUUUUAGUGCACAGACUGACAGCUAAAUACAAAUUGAGAAAUGUAAGUUUCACUUCGAGCAAAUUUACUGGGUGAAAACCUCAUUUUUUCAUUUCAUUUGAAUACGUUCACUGCUUCUCAGAAUAUGCAACUUUAUAGUGAGCAUAUUUUUUAUUCUUGAAGGCUCAUUAUUUUACAGUGAGGUUACUGAACCUAGACCACAUAGAGCAGAUUACCCAGCAUAAUAUUAAUCAAAAUAUACAUGGCAAAUGGGAUUCCAAACAGUGCCAAAUAGGCAUCUGCUUUUAACAUAGAAUAAAAAAAGUGCAUUUAGUGCUUUUAUUAAAAGGUAUUAUGGGCAAUUUAUUUUUAAGCCAUCUCUCUAACACUAUUAACUAGCAUAUAAUUUAAUGUACUCCCAAGCAACUUGACUUUUACUGUUUCCUUCAAAACAUUAAUUUGUAAAAGCAAGUUGAUAUAAAAGAUGACUUUGACCCUAAGAAAAGAUUCGAAUCAUUAAAAAUAAAUUAAAUGAUCUUGUAGACACACAUAAUAGUUACUUUGGGGGUUGGAAAAUAACAUAUUUUCUGUUGCCAUGUAUGAUAUGAUGUUUCAUAGGGAAAAAUAAAGCCAGUGCUGUUUCUAAUGAUAUAAUUUAUACCCUCUGAGUAAACCAUAUCAGUUUUGUAAGCUUUGCUUAAAUUUGAACAGAGUUGCCAAAUGCCUAAAAAUUUCUGAACAAAUCAAAGAAGAUUCUUUAGUAUUUAUGAGAGAAAUAAAUUAUAUUAUGACUGUUUAGAAAAUUUUGGACAGGUUAGUACAUAGUUGAUUUUGUACUGUCUUUAGAGUGUUUUCCUUAUAGAGACAAGGAAACUAAUUCACUUCCACUGAAAUGUAGCCAGGCAAUUUUAUACAACGUAAGCAGUGUGGAUAUUGAUAGAAAAAGUUUUUUACAAAUCUAGGCUAAGAAUUAUAAGUAAAACUAAAAAUUGUGAUAUGUUUAAUUGGGUGAAAUUUUUGAAUGGUAACAAAUAAAAUUUAAAUUCUAAAAAUAAUACAAGGAUGCAUGCUUUUUUUAAAGAAAUAAAAAUAUCCAAGAAUAAUAGUAUUAAGUGAAAAACAGCCACAGAAGCAACAAUAAAACCUUGACGUCAUUGCCUACCCUCAUGCAGUAAGAUUCCACUAUCCUCCUGUCUGUAAUUACUGGAAACAAUUUGGAGGGCAUCCUUUCACGUCUUUCUGUAUAUAUUUAUAUAAAUAUAUUUUUAUCUAUAUUUGCAUGUUAAAUGUAUGUGUGUACACAUGUACAUAAAAGAAGUACACAUUACAUAUGUGUGUGCAUAUAUAUAAUCUAGUAAAAUUGAAAACAAGUUUUUUCACUUGAAAUAAAAUGGGCAUCAGUACAUCAGUUUAUUUGUAUUCCCCCCCCCUACUUUUUCAUACUAUUUUUGAAUGUGGAUGCGACUAAGUAUCUUAUUUUAUUUUAUUAUUGGUUUUUAAAUUAAUUUGCUUAUUUUGAGAGAGAGCGUGCGUGUUUGUGUGUGCAUGUGCAAGUGGGGGAGUGACAGAAGAAGAGGGAGAGAGAAUGUCAAGCAGGCUCCAUGCUAACAGUGAGGCUAGAUCUCAUGGAACUCUGCAAACAUGACCUGCGAUAAAAUCAACCCUGAGAUCAUGACCUGAGUCUUUUGCUUAACUGACCGAGCCUCCCAGAUGCUGCUGGGACUAAGUAUUUUAAAACAUUUUCCUACUGAUAGUCAUGUGGAUGAUCUUAAUUUUUAUUUAUAGCCUAAAUUAAUCCUUAUGUCUGUGAGAUAGAAUUUGAAGUAAUUGAUGGGUUUUCCUAAUUGCCAGAUAUUUUUCAAAUUAUCUCUGAGAAGUUUGUGUUAGUUUGUAUCCCUCUCUGCAAGAGUUAGUAAAAGUACUACUUCUUCCAGAUCCUCAUCAAAACAUUAUAUUACUGACCAUUAUUUUUUGUUAAUCUGCUAGUAAAACUCUGUAUAAUUUUAGCAUGCAGUUCUGUUAUUACUGGUGAGGUUGAAUAUUUUUAUAUGUUUAUUGUAUAUACACACAUACAUGCACAGCUGAUUCUUGUUAUUCCUGGUAGUUAUGUUCUAUAAAGUCCCUGCAAACACUGAAUUAGCGAAUACUGAGCCAUUGUUCUUAGUGGGAAUACACACACACACACACACACACACACACACACACACACACAAAGAGAUACUUAUAUAAUCUCAUAGAUUAUAAUCUUAAUCUUACAUCCAAAGAAACAACUCAGUUACCAUGGUAGGUUCUUUUCUCUUUAUUUUUAUGAAAGAGAAAAUGAGGUUCGAAAGUGUUAUGUGACUUUCCAGGGGCUGCUGCACUAACAGGUACCAGAGCUGGGUUUCAAAUCCUGGUCAACUGGUCCCAGAGCCAGAGCUUCUUGGAUUCCACUGCAUUGCCCACUGCUAUCUCCAUCUUCUGGUCAUUGUUGUCCGAGAGUGCAAAAAGAAAGCAGAACAUUGCCUUGUUUGACCUGAGCUGGGAACGUGCAUAUAGGGAGACUCAAUUUUUUUCACGGCUAUAUGUGUGUCCACUAAUGACUGUGAAAGCCUACUGAAGUUUGAUAUUGAGGUUCCAAAUAAACUUCAGGGAGCAGGAGAUUCUCAAAUAGGGAAUUGUGAACAGCAAGGGUCAACUGUUCACACAAAUACACAAUCUAUGUAUAUGUACAUAUGUACAUACAUACAUAUAAUAUGUACAGAUGGUCCCUGAGUUUAUGAUGUUUCAACUGACUAUUUUUCAGCUUUGUGAUGGUGCAAAAGCAAUACACAUUCAUUAGAGACCGUCUUUACUUUUUGAAAUUUGAGCUUUUCCCAGACUAGUGAUAAGCAGCAUGAUGCUGUGAUACUGUCCCAUGGUGCUGGGUGGUGGCCGCCAGCUGCAGCACCCAAUCAGCCCCUGGAGCAGGAGGGUGAAAAACCCAUACGCUUACACCCCUUCGGUACCCAUAUAGCCAGUCCAUUUUUCACUUUCAGUAUAGUAUCCAAUAAAUUACUUGAGAUAUGCAACACUUUAUUAUAAAAUAGGCUUUGUGUUAGAUGAUUUUAUCCAGCUCUAGGCUAAGAUGUGUUCUGAGCACACUUAGGGUAGAUGAGACUAAGCUAUGAUGUUAGGUAGAAUAGGUGAAUUAAAUGAAUUUUCAAUUUAGGAUAUUUUCAAUUUAGGAUGGCUUUAUCUGGAGGUAACCCCAUUGUAAGUCGAGGAAGAUCUGCAUGUGUACUGCU